rnacentral:rRNA from 1 species
AUUGCUUAUCUUACCNUGUGGUUUUUCCUACCUGAAAAAUUACUUUGGGUGGUGCUACCAUAUGAGAGAGAUAAAACUCAACCAAACUUUUAUUUAAUAGCUUUAUAAAAUUAACAAUAGUUAAAACUUUCAACAACGGAUCUCUUGGUUCUCGCAUCGAUGAAGAACGCAGCGAAUUUCCAUAAGUAAUAUGAAUUGCAGAUAUUCGUGAAUCAUCGAAUCUUUGAACGCACAUUGCGCCCUCUGGUAUUCCAGAGGGCAUGCCUGUUUGAGCGUCAUUUCUCCCUCAAACCGCAAGGUUUGGUGUUGAGCAAUACGCCCGAGUUUGCUUGAAAAAUAUAGAGUUUAUUCAAUGGAUAGGUCUAACCAGUCAUUGUGAACGACUCCAAUUUUUCCAAAUUCGACCUCAAAUCAGGUAGGAAUACCCGCUGAACUUAAGCAUAUCAAUAAGCGGAG